CCACCUCUGUUUGAACAUUUUGGUAUCUACGAGGGAGAGCUCAUAUUACCUAAGAGAAAUAGUUGAAUUGGUCAACAUCAUUGAAGCACCCCCGGAAAAGAUCUCGGAGAGGUGGAAAAGCAACUGCGAAAUAGCAGACAGAGAAAUCCUUUUGGAAGUUAUUCUGUAGCAUAAAAGCAGAAACUUCAGAGCAAGUUUUCACUGGGCAAAAUGGGGGAGCAACCUAUCUUCAGCACUAGAGCUCAUGUCUUCCAGAUUCACCCAAACACAAAGAAGAAUUGGGUACCCACCAGCAAGCACGCAGUUACUGUGUCUUAUUUUUAUGACAGCACAAGAAAUGUGUAUAGGAUAAUCAGUUUAGAUGACUCAAAGGCAAAAAUAAAUAGUACCAUCACCCCAAACAUGACAUUUACUAAAACAUCUCAGAAGUUUGGCCAGUGGGCCGAUAGCCGGGCAAACACUGUCUAUGGAUUGGGAUUCUCCUCUGAGCACCAUCUUUCAAACUUUGCAGAAAAGUUUCAGGAAUUUAAAGAAACUGCUCGACUAGCAAAGGAGAAAUCACAAGAAAAGAUGGAACUUACCAGUACACCUUCACAGGAAUCAGCAGGUGGAGAUCUUCAGUCUCCAUUAACACCAGAAAUUAUCAAUGGGACAGAUGAUGGAAGAACACCUGAUGUGGCACAGAAAUCAGAGCCAAGGGCUGAACCAACUCAGAAUGCAUUGCCAUUUUCACAUAGUUCAGCCAUCAGCAAACACUGGGAAGCUGAACUGGCUACCCUCAAAGGAAAUAAUGCUAAACUCACUGCAGCCCUGUUGGAGUCCACUGCCAAUGUGAAACAAUGGAAACAGCAACUUGCUGCAUAUCAAGAGGAAUCAGCAUCUGCACAAGCCGGUCACUGAGCUUGAGUGUGUUAGUAGCCAAGCAAUGCAGUGCAUACUCAUAAAACAGAACUAAAUCAGACAAUACAAGAACUAGAAGAGACAUUGAAAGAAAAGGAAGAGGAAAUAGAAAGAUUAAAACAAGAAAUUGAUAAUGCCAGAGAACUACAAGAACAGAUGUACUCUUUGACUCAGAAACUACAGGAAGUAGAAAUUCGGAACAAAGACCUGGAGGGACAACUCUCUGACUUAGAGCAACGUCUGGAGAAGAGUCAAAAUGAACAAGAAGCUUUUUGCAAUAAUCUGAAGACACUCUUAGAGAUUCUGGAUCGAAAAAUAUUUGAACUAACAGAAUUAAGAGAUAACCUGGCCAAGCUACUAGAAUGCAGCUAAGGAAAGUUAAAUUUCAGUGCCAAUUGAUUAAAAGAUACA